GAUGAACGCUGGCGGCGUGCCUAAUACAUGCGAGUCGAGCGAACGGACGAGAAGCUUGCUCCUCUGAUGUUAGCGGCGGACGGGUGAGUAACACGUGGAUAACCUACCUAUAAGACUGGGGUAACUUCGGGAAACCGGAGCUAAUACCGGAUAAUAUUUUGAACCGCAUGGUUCAAAAGUGAAAGACGGUUUUGCUGUCACUUAUAGAUGGAUCCGCGCUGCAUUAGCUAGUUGGUAAGGUAACGGCUUACCAAGGCAACGAUGCAUAGCCGACCUGAGAGGGUGAUCGGCCACACUGGAACUGAGACACGGUCCAGACUCCUACGGGAGGCAGCAGUAGGGAAUCUUCCGCAAUGGGCGAAAGCCUGACGAAGCAACGCCGCGUGAGUGAUGAAGGUCUUCGGAUCGUAAAACUCUGUUAUUAGGGAAGAACAUAUGUGUAAGUAACUGUGCACGUCUUGACGGUACCUAAUCAGAAAGCCACGGCUAACUACGUG
rnacentral:rRNA from 1 species